rnacentral:misc_RNA from 2 species
AACACCUCAAUUUCAUGAUUCUUAAUUUUGAAAUUGGACUUGAGCAGAUCCCAACGUACAUUUAACUGUGUGGAGGGUUGCUUCAAAUGCAGGUGCAGCCGAUCAUUCUUCUGGGCUAAAAGCAUUAUCUAGUUAAUCCCGUAAAACGGAUUAUUCACUUUAUUGCUGCAGCUUACCCUAUAUAAAAGGAAGACAUGGCCAUUGUGCUGACUGAUGCAGGAAUUCUCAGAGGUCUGUAAAGACUUUUGAAA